rnacentral:rRNA from 1 species
CAGCCGCCACGGGAAUACGUAGGGUGCGAGCGUUAAUCGGAAUUACUGGGCGUAAAGCGUGCGCAGGCGGUUAUAUAAGACAGAUGUGAAAUCCCCGGGCUCAACCUGGGACCUGCAUUUGUGACUGUAUAGCUAGAGUACGGUAGAGGGGGAUGGAAUUCCGCGUGUAGCAGUGAAAUGCGUAGAUAUGCGGAGGAACACCGAUGGCGAAGGCAAUCCCCUGGACCUGUACUGACGCUCAUGCACGAAAGCGUGGGGAGCAAACAGGAUUAGAUACCCCUGUAGUCCCUGUCUCUUAUAC